CUCAACCAGGCUUGUGAGAUAAGUACUACAAAUACAGAUGAGAAAACUGAGGCUCCAAAAAUUUAAAUGACUUUCCCAGAAUCACACAAUAAGCAUCUGAAGCAAGAUUUGAAGCUAGAUCUUCCUGGCUUCAAGUCCAGCAUUCUAUCAACUCUACCAGGCUGACUUGUCUCAAAAUAGGAGAAGGAAUAUAUACCAGGAACCACAAGUGCUGAAAAGAGUUGUUAUCAAUGAUUUGUAAAAGAAUGUUUCCCCAGCCAAAGCUGUAAAAGAUAAAACAUUUUCCCCUUGUGAAAAAGUUCUUAAGGCCAUUCUACAAGACAAAAUAUAUAUUUUUUAAAUUGCCUUUGAGAUAUAUUGAACUGAACGUUCAGUGGACAUCUUAAGCUCAACAUAUCCAAAGCAGAAUUCAUUCUCUUUCCCCAAAAAAAUCUCUGCCCUUUCUACAUUUCUUACCCAUGCAACGGGCAACACCAUCCUUCAAGUCCCGGAGGCUCACACUCAUCCUGGACUCCUCACUAUCUCUUAUCCUCCUCCUCCCCACCAAAGGUCAAUGUCUUCCAGUUCACCUUUACAAAAUCUCCUCGGACACUGUCACCACUCUAGCUAGUGUAGACCCUCAUCACCUUAUGCUUGGACUAUUGCCAUAGCCGCUGAUGGGUCUUGGUGCUUCAAGUCUCUCCCCACUCCAAUCUACCCUCCAUUCAACUACCCAAGUGAUUUUCCUAACACAUACAACUCAAUAAGCAGCAGAAGCUCCCUAUCACUUCCAGAAUUAAAUUCAAAGUGUUUUUUGGUAUACAAAGCUCUUUAUAAGCUAGAACUAUAACCUAGAAGUAGAAAACUACUUUUCCAAUUUUCUUAUACCUUAUUUUUCUCCAUGUAUCCUUUGAUUUAGUGACACUGGUUUCCUGGCUAUUCCAUAAACAAAUUUCUCAAUUAUUGGCAUUUUCUGUAAUUGCCCCCCAUGCCUGGAAUACCUUUGCUUCCCAUCUCCACCUCCUGGCUUCUCUGACUUCCUUUAAGUUCCAAUCAAAAUUCCAUUUUCUGGAGAAAGCACUUUACUUGAUUUCUUGAUUAUUUCUUGAUUAUUAAUCUCUUGAUUAUUUCUUAUUUAUCCUGAAUAUAGCUUGUCUGUACAAAUUUGUACACUUGUGUGAGCUCCUUGAGCACAGGAACUAUUUCUUGCCUCUUUUUGUAUCCCUCAUGCUUAGCACGAUGUCUAUAAACAAUAAAUGUUUAUGGACCCACCGAUCAAUCAAAAAAAAAAAAGAUGCUAUUAUAACUUUCUACAAAAACUUUAAUCUAUUGCCUCAUUGUAGUGCGAUGGUGAGCCUAUAUUCUCCGAACACUGACCCAAUAGAGGAACAGUUCUGGUAGUUUCCAUAAAAUUAGUAAGGCUUCUGGUGACCAAGGGCUAAAUUAACUCAGUAGGAAGACAUUUAUUACCACGAGUUUGGCCGCUAAGUGAUGUAUUCUUUGUUUAUGGAAACCAUGAAACAAAUAUUCAACUUGAUUGACUCUCAGUCUUCACAGAUUCUUCGGCGAUGGCGACAAUCUUAAAAUUAUCUAUAAAAUUUAUUUAACUAUU